GACGAACGCUGGCGGCGUGCUUAACACAUGCAAGUCGAACGGAAAGGCCCUGCUUUUGUGGGGUGCUCGAGUGGCGAACGGGUGAGUAAAACGUGAGUAACCUGCCCUUGACUUUGGGAUAACUUCUGGAAACUGGGGCUCAUACCGGAUAGGAGAUCCUGCUGCAUGGUGGGGGAUGGAAAGUUUCGGCGGUUGGGGAUGGACUCGCGGCUUAUCAGCUUGUUGGUGGGGUAGUGGCUUACCAAGGCUUUGACGGGUAGCCGGCCUGAGAGGGUGACCGGCCACAUUGGGACUGAGAUACGGCCCAGACUCCUACGGGAGGCAGCAGUGGGGAAUAUUGCACAAUGGGCGGAAGCCUGAUGCAGCAACGCCGCGUGCGGGAUGACGGCCUUCGGGUUGUAAACCGCUUUCGCCUGUGACGAAGCGUGAGUGACGGUAAUGGGUAAAGAAGCACCGGCUAACUACGUG
rnacentral:rRNA from 1 species